rnacentral:lncRNA from 1 species
UUCCCUUAAUGUUUAAGCCCUACUUGAUUUCAGAUGCUUCUGACUCAUGUGUACCUGACUCAUCAAAGGGCUUUUUCUCUUCUUCCUUAUUUUUCAGGGUUUUGUUGUUGUUGUUGUUGUUUUCUGCUGUUGGUUUUGUUUUGUUUUGUUUUGUUUUUUAAUGAGCCUUUUGCAUCCUGGGACCUGGAAUGAGCCAUCCUAGUCAGCAUCACUCACCUUUUCUCCAGGAUGCCUUCUCUCACCCAAAAAUAUAACCUAUUGAUAUGGGAACAUUGGGUGCCUUUGAGAACAACAGAGCCUUGCUCAGCUCUUGGUGAGCUUGGCUCAAAAAGCCAGGAUCCCAGAAACUUGAUGGCCACUUUGAGCCAGUGGCUUUUGGGUUAUUGUCUGGAAACUCCAAAAAAGUAAAAUUUGUGAGCCAGAGCCUGAGAGAGACUCCUGUGGGAGGGAGAUGGAGUACAUCAAACCACCAAGCUGCUAAUCCAGGAGUUCUUUAAAGGAUUUACAGCAGAAAGUAGGAAAUCAUUUCUAUCAAGGGAGGAGGGAAGCUCACAAGGCUCAGACAGUCACAAAAUCAGCAACCCCCCCCACCACAAGGCAGCUGGCCAUGCUUCUCAAGCGAGGGGGCGACAACUGUAUGAGCUCGGAGCAGAGUCGGCAGCAUCAACAACAGCCUACAGCAGUUCCAGAGCACAGCCCUGAACAGUGAAAUCGAGAUGCACAAAGGAGCAAGAAAGGGAGACCGGGAAGCCUUGCGAAGUGAUCUGGAGUUCGUUUCUUCAGAUGAUCGGCUCCUUCAGUUUUAUCUGUGAUUAAAUGCUGAGGCCUGUGGGAAUGAACCUAGCUGGAGCUGGGAGCAGGGAAGUGUAGCAUCUAAGCAAGCAAGAGUGGUGGCUCCUGGGCCUGCCUAGCAGAGCUGCCAGCUCCCGGUCCAGAAGUCUGACUUCUUUCUGCCUGGUCUGAAUUCCGAGGACAUCUAACUGCAUCUUUGAGCUCUCUACUGCACCUGUCAUGGCUCUUCUGGCUCUUGCAUCCUUUUUAAGGGGGGGAGGCGGGAAGGCAGGCGGUGGAGAGAGUGCUGCAUCUUGGCUGCCCGUUAAUAACAUGGAUGUCUUGGUGAGUGUGUGUGAAUAGGAAGGACCAGAAGAGUGGCUGGAGCCAGGGUUUUCCUAAUGCUAUUAGACGGCCAGUGAACAGAGGGCUGUCUGCUGGCAGAGCCCAGAAGACAGACAUCAUGGCUAAUGAGCCUGUGAUGGAUUAGGGGCUCUUGGGAGUUGCAGCUCCAGAGGGACCCAUGGCUGAACAGGGAACUGUCCUUCAGGGGCUUCUUAGACCACAAGGCAAGGGUGCCCAAGUAAAGCUUCCUUUAUUUCUCUGUAACAAAACUAAGUGCUGCAUGUGUCGGGGUGACACACAGUUCCAACAACCAGGCCCCAGUGUGCAGGCACUUAUCACAUCCCUGUUUGUGACACACUGGUGAACAACUCAUUGGCCCCAUAUUCUAAGAGUGGAGAAAUACAGGGCACCUCUCUCUCAGUGAGAAGAGAUGGGGUUGGGGCAACAGCUUGGGCAGUAAAAUGUUUGCCUGGCUAGCUCAAGGACCUGAGUUUGGUACUCCAUAAGCUACAUACAAAGCUAGGCACUGUGGAGUGUCCUUGUGAAUCCCAGUGAAGGCAAGAUGGCAAGUAGAGGCAGAAUUCCAGAGCUUGCCUAGCCUACUUGGUGAAGUUCUAGGCCCAUAAAGGAGACCCUGUCUCAAACGCAAGAUGGAAGAGACUUGAGGACCAACAUCCAAAGUUGUCUUCUGACCUCUGUAGUCACACACAUGGGCACACGCACACACAUGUACACACAUAGAAGAAGUGGAAAGCCACACUGCAAAGGGGUGCCGUUUUGCUAACCGCAUGUGGCAUGUGGAGCACUGGCCCUGGCCUGCUCAACUCUGAAGACCUCCAAGCUUAUUUCUGUCUCACUUCAGCUCAUGGACUUUGGUUCAGAUUUGUAUUUUAAAAGGUCACUCUAACAAAAUGAAUGGCAGGCUGUUGUAGAGCCAGUCAAUUGAGAGAAUUACCAGCUCUCAGCAUCGUCACACGCAGACAGUCACACUCUGUAAUGUUCAGGGGAGGGAGAGCUCACAGCACCACCUCGCCAUACAAAUGUUUCCUUAUCAUCACUCUCUACCAAUACAGGAUAACAACUACGUGAGCAGCAUUCAGCUGGAUGAGGACCUUGCAAGUCACCUAGAGAAGAAUCAAAGCUGGCUGGAGGGUGUGGGUUGCAUAUGCAAAUUUAUAGGAGGGACUCCCAGCAGGUGGGCCCCAAGCCACAGUGGGGGCAGGGCAUAUAUUGGGGUAGAGCAAGGGGAGUGUCUAGGGGUCCCCUAGUUGCACAGCAACAGUCUCAGGAUUGGUACACCUCUGGGCUGGGGGAACCUGUCCUGAGUUGAUUGGUCAGCUGCAGCUGCAGAAAGGUUGCUGUGCCUAGAGGCCCUCCCAGGGCGGUUGCUAUGCCCCGCAGUCCACUAUUAUCAGUAAAGCACAUCCAGAAUCUGCCAGCUAACUUCUGAUUGGUUCCUUGUCACAUGGAGGGUAUCUGUCGGUUGCUUCUUAGUGAUUAGGGCAAGGUUGGGGGCUCAGCACAUAUUGCUGAGUCAGGGACAUACAUUUUGCUGAGUCUUUUCUGCAGCCUGUCAUGACUGCCAAAGCACAGGGCUGGGUGAGGGUGUGGGCCCUUCAAU